UACGUAGGGGGCAAGCGUUGUCCGGAUUUAUUGGGCGUAAAGAGCGUGUAGGCGGUCAGGUAGGUCGGUUGUGAAAACUGGAGGCUCAACCUUCAGAGGUCGACCGAAACCCCCUGGCUAGAGGCCGGGAGAGGAGAGUGGAAUUCCUGGUGUAGCGGUGAAAUGCGCAGAUAUCAGGAAGAACACCCGUGGCGAAAGCGGCUCUCUGGAACGGUACUGACGCUGAGACGCGAAAGCGUGGGGAGCGAACAGG
rnacentral:rRNA from 1 species